GCUGGGCAUGGUGUCACGUGCCUGUAAUCCCAACUACUCAGGAGGCUGAGGCAGGAGAAUUAUUUGAACCUGGGAGGCAGAGGUUGCAAUGAGCUGAGAUUGCGCCAUUGCACUCCAGCCUGGGCAACGAGAGCGAAACUCUGUCUUAAAAAAAGAAAAGAAGAAGAAGUCUUGCUGUCACCCAGGCUGGAGUGCAGUGGUGUGAUCUCAACUCAUUGCAACCUCUGCCUCCCGGGCUCAAACAAUUCUCCUCCCUCC
rnacentral:sRNA from 1 species